rnacentral:rRNA from 1 species
GACGGGACCGCACAAGCGGUGGAUGAUGUGGUUAAUUCGAUGCAACGCGAAAACCUACCCACCUUGACAUGUACGGAAUCCUUAGAGAUAGAGGAGUGCUCGAAAGAGAGCCGUAACACAGGUGCUGCAUGGCUGUCGUCAGCUCGUGUCGUGAGAUGUUGGGUUAAGUCCCGCAACGAGCGCAACCCUUGUCAUUAGUUGCUACGAAAGGGCACUCUAAUGAGACUGCCGGUGACAAACCCGGAGGAAGGUGGGGAUGACGUCAAGUCCUCAUGGCCCUUAUAGGUGGGGCUACACACGUCAUACAAUGGCUGGUACAAAGGGUUGCCAACCCGCGAGGGGGAGCCAAUCCCAUAAAGCCAGUCGUAGUCCGGAUCGCAGUCUGCAACUCGACUGCGUGAAGUCGGAAUCGCUAGUAAUCGUGGAUCAGCAUGUCACGGUGAAUACGUUCCCGGGUCUU